rnacentral:misc_RNA from 1 species
CUGUACCUCAAGCCCGGCUUGUGUGUUGGGCCAACCGUCCCUCGGGACGGUGACCCGAAAGGCAGUGGCGGCGUCGCGUCCCGGUCCUUAAAGCGUAUGGGGCUUUGUCACCCGCUUUGGAGGCCGGCCGACCCCGUAGCCCAUCGUGUGGAUCUUCCACAUUUCAUUCU